rnacentral:rRNA from 1 species
GACGAACUGUGCAAACGUUAUUCGGAAUCACUGGGCUUAAAGGGUGCGUAGGCGGCUUGUUAAGUAGGGUGUGAAAUCCCCCGGCUCAACCGGGGAAUUGCGCCCUAAACUGGCGAGCUGGAGUGAGAUAGGGGUGUGUGGAACUUCCAGUGGAGCGGUGAAAUGUGUUGAUAUUGGAAGGAACGCCAGUGGCGAAAGCGACACACUGGGUCUCAACUGACGCUGAGGCACGAAAGCCAGGGGAGCAAACGGG